AUGUGCGAUCAUACCAACACUAAUGCACCAAAUCCACUCAGAACUCCGCAGUUUAGCCUGCUUAGGUGAGAGUAGUACUAGGAUGGGUGACCUCUUGGGAAGUAGUCGUGUUGCACCUA
rnacentral:rRNA from 2 species